rnacentral:rRNA from 1 species
GACAGAGGGUGCAAACGUUGUUCGGAAUUACUGGGCGUAAAGCGCGUGUAGGCGGCCCUGCAAGUCGGAUGUGGAAAUCCCACGGCUCAACCGUGGAAGUGCAUUCGAAACUGCAGGGCUAGAGUCCUGGAGAGGAAGGUGGAAUGCUUGGUGUAGAGGUGAAAUUCGUAGAUAUCAAGCGGAACACCGGUGGCGAAGGCCGGCCUUCUGGACAGUGACGUGACGCUGAGACGCGAAGC